CUCCUCCUGCAACCACCAAA
rnacentral:siRNA from 1 species